AAACAGAAGGCUAUAAUUCGACUCGUGAAAGCAAAUACUCAGUAUGUUCAAGUAACGAGAGGAGUUUAUUAGAAGGCAAAGAAAAUUGAAGAAGUUUUCUUCCAUUUGUUAAUAAGUGGCCUCUUAAUGUUUGAUAUUCAUACCCUAACAUUUUUUUUUUUCAAAUUGACAAGCCAAAACACUAAAAUAAAAGUACAUGUUCAACACACUUUAGAAAAAAGAAAUUAGGGGCACCAAACUGAGGCCAAAAACAAAAACUAGAGGUUGAGCCCAAUUAAAAUGAACUAUCACUCGGUCUCACUUGCAAACAUAAAACAACAGUAGAUAACCCAAGCCCAAGAUACAAACUGGAGGCAAAGCCCAAUUGAAAAGAAAUACCCAGUUUCACGCCUCAUCUGUUGGCAUUCCGCUGCGAGACUAUUGAUGAAGAUGGCAGCACAGGAUGUGGCGAUUAGAGUCGGGACUUCACUAUUGUAGAGGUGGACGGCAAUGGAAAGAGUUUACUGUUUGGGUCGCCGGUGUGGGAGCAGUUGGCGGGUAGCGAAAUCUCUGGAUUGCGAUUUGUAUGUGGCUGAGUGGCCGGGUUGAGGGUCGCCGACAGGAAAGAUAGGAGCUGUUGGUUGUUGAUUGGAGACGAAGAUGGAGAUGUCCGUCCGUCGACGGUUUGGAUGGGGUUUUGGUUACUGUUUGUGGUGGUGUGUGUCGUUGUACUUUUGGGUUGUGUAGAACCAGUCGACGAUUGGGUUGCCGUAAUGGCCGCCGACAGAGAAGAGACGAUUUUUUUUUUUUACUGUGACGGUUUGUGGUGGGUUUUUAUUGUUUUAAUGAUUGUGGGUAGUUAUUGGAAUUACGUAGUUGGGGAAUUAUAGGUGGUAGUGGGUUGAUAGUUAGCAGUUACAAGAAGAAGGCGGUGUUGGGAUUUUGCAAUAGUAGGUUUGACGUAUGAUAAAUAUGAUUUUGGUAGUUGAUUUCAGUGGGAAAUUUCAGCGGAUGGGUGCUGGGAAUUUGUGCAGUGCAUUUCUAAUAGUCAAUGAAGAUGGCAAUGUUGAUUGUAGGAGUUGCAGUUUGUAUAGACAUCAUUAGUUGCUAGAUUGGGUUAUGAGCAGGGUUCCAAUAUGCAAAUUUAAGCAGCACUUUGAUGAAAGAAACCUAAUUUUGGCUCUUAUACCACUUUGAUGCAGAAAAAAAGGGUUCCAGCAGAGAAUAAAACAAUAGAAAAGAAGCAGAAUUGCAACAAGAAGAAGAAGAGAAGAAGACGACGGCAUCAUGGGGAGAAACCCGGAGAAAAAUAAGAAGUUAGGAAGGAAGGGGAAGGAAAACGUAAUAACCUAACAUAUUCAUUUCAUCAAUUCAUCAACUACCUUGCAAUUCCAAUUACAACCAUAUAAAUGACAAUAGAAACCUAAUAUUCACAGACUUGGGCCAGACCCAUUAGACAAGUCCAAUGAACUAAAAAGACAUCAUUAAAUAAAAAAGUAGUAAAAUAAUUGGGCCAAUGUCCGCAUCAUUUGGUAUAGAGAGUGGGAGAAUACCUCUAUUAUAGUUUCAGAUUCACCAGAAAAGAUUAUCAGCAAAGGUUAU
rnacentral:lncRNA from 1 species